GGUCACACUGGCUCAGGUUAAAGAGGAGAACCUUGCAUCUGUCAUUUAUUUUCUCGUUUACCAAUUAAAAGAAAAGUGAUCAACUACAUUUUUAUUAACCCGUCCACUGCAGUUGGAACAAAUUUGGCUUUCACUUGUAGCCUGAUAACAAUAACAUAUACUCCCAGGUCUUCCUUUGCUUCUGUGGUGGAUAGUGGAGUAUUUCCCAUGUGGUAUUGGUGUGCUGGAUAUCCCCUCCCAAGUUGUAGGACUUUACAUUUUUCUCCAUUGAAUCGUAGCAGCCACUUUUUGAUCAAUUCUUGUAGCUUGGUGAUGUCUUCUUGGAGGAAAUCUGCAGUUAAUGGGUUAACAACAGUAUCACGUAUUGUAUUGAAGUGUAAUUGUUCCAAGCCUCAGAGAAACACAAGUAAUUUACGAUACUUUAAAGAAUAGUUCAAGCUUUGUGGGCCCUGUGACCUGACACCCACUGACUGGCAACUCUGAAUAUACCUCAUUAGCAUAAAUCCAGACCAACCAUCACCCAAAGACUUAUAGUAAAAAAUCACUUUAAUGAUACAGUCAAGUACAAAGAUGGUAUAUUUGAGGUUGGCUGACCCUGGAAACAUUACGUCCUUGUAUUAACAUCAAAUUAUAAUCAGACAAAUAUACAAUAGGGUUGUAUUAUGAGGAAAUUAAGAAAAAACAAAACUAAGUAGGCCUGCUAUGAUAAAAUAAUAAAAGGAAGGAAGGAAAAUCUCCGCCAGGCUCGUGGAACUGCCUAUGGUAAGUAAUUCUCACUUUAUGAUUAUGUUUAAGCCUCUCGAGCCAAAAAAGAAAAUGGUGGAUACUGACAACUGCAGACAUUGCACCCCUUGUUGACAAGUAAUGCAAGUCUUCAAAUAACUUGUAGUUAAUCUCUCAGAUGUGAUGCCUCCAUGUGCCAUGCUAAGUGUGGUAAAAGUCUUGGGCAGGGACUGAAUAGUGACAAUUGCCGGCCCAAGUCUAGUAAGUGUUUGGGAAUGGUGUGUUUUGAAGACUUUGAGGUCACGUCCUGGUAAUCCAGAAAAUAUGCUGAUCCAGAGGGUCUGUGACCCCUGCACGCCAGAUGCAAGGACUUUUACCAUGUUAUCAUAUUUAUUAUUGUUGUUAUUAUUAUUAUUAUUAUUAUUAUUAUUAUUAUUAUUAUUAUUAUUAUUAUCAUCAUAAUAACUUGAUGUUAAUGCAAUGCCCUUUUCUCUGUUUUCAGAUGAAAUUGGUCAAGAUCAUGAUUGUGUUUGGUGCCCUCCUUGCCCUCCUUGCUCCAGCUUCUGUUGGAGCUUCACGUGAAAAAGAAAGCUCCCGGGAUCAAAAUGGGAAUUUCCUGCUGUACGGCGCUGCUGCUGUGGCUGGAGGAGCGGCUGCAGUGUUUGCAGCUCCUCUAAUACUACCGGUUAUUGGAUUCACGAGUGCGGGCAUCAGUGCUGGUUCCUUGGGAGCAUCCUUGAUGUCUGCGUCUGCCGUUGCCAAUGGAGGAGGGAUUGCAGCAGGUGGACUGGUAGCUACUCUACAGGCAGUUGGAGCUGGUGGCCUAGGUUCAGCUGGAACUGCUCUUCUUGUUACUGUUGGAGCAGGUGUUGGUUAUAAAGGGGCCCAACUGUUGGAAGAGAAAGAUGAGAAAUGAAAAGGAUGAACUUCAAGUGGAAAUGUACACAUCUUCACACACACAUACACCCACACUAUUGAAAGAUGUGUAAGAUUACAGGCUGAUUUCACAGUCAUUUCCUUUUGUUGGGAUCAUUUCCAAUGAGUACCAGCAAGAUACUCUACAUUAAUUCAUCACAUUCAUUCCUCUCCCUCCCCCCUUUUUCUUUUGUUUAUUUUCACAUAUAUCUUCCACAGUCCUCCAUAAACAAACAAAUAAAGUGGGGGGUGUAUCACACAGCUAUGAUUGACUUAGUACCAAUCAUCCCUGAAUAGAAAAUAAUAUAACUCAAUCACAUCACUUUAUUAUGAUGAUACAACUAUAAUCACAAGAAUUUUAACUAUGUUGCACUGCACACACACUCACAGGAUUUCAUGGCAGAUAGUUAAUAGUGGAAGUUUGUACACAAGUACUUUCUUGAUUGUUUUUGCUUUUCUUUUAGGAUUCGCCACAUGGUGAAGAAGCCUCUCGCACCAUCUUGAAACUUCCCAUUUCCAUCUAUUACUGUGAAAGGGAAACUUUUCUAUAUUUAUAAGGGCUGAUCUUAUGAUCACUAUACAGACUACCCCCUUGUAUGGUAUACCCCGACAUCACCUUAAUGGCUAAUGCACUACAAAGCAUACAUAUUGUAUUUGAUAUAACAUAAGUAAUGGCUAAUGCACUGCAGAGUAGGGAUGUACCAAUACCAAAAUUUAACCCGAUACCGAUACCACAAAAUUGGGCCAAUACCGAUACUACUACUACUGAUACUGUACGAAGUAUGGAGCUUGGCCACCACUUAGGCACAAAAUACCAUGAGCCUUAACCCUCAUACCCCGUGAUAAAAUGAGUGGGCGGUUUUAAGUUACGUACGUAAAACACGGGUUACUAAUGUAAGUAGGUGUUCCCUUGCUUACCUUAGUGUUCUUUCCAAUUAUUGUAACAAAUACUGGGACAAUUAUAUAUCAUUUGAAAGCUUAGAAGUUGCUCUUUGCUAUGGUAUAAUGAAAAUAAACAAAUGGAACUUAUAUAUUCCUCUAGAUGGGAAACCUCCAGUAUCACCUCACACUCAUCAUCUGACAUCAUCCUUAUCUAGGUCAAUAAUAAGAAAAAAAAAAAAAUUCAUGUAUUGUCAUCUAUCACAUCAUGUGCCUGAAGUACUUAUUUACUCAUGGAAAUACAUAUAUAUCUGCUAUCUUGCCUAGAAAUGGGUAAAAAAAAAUGAUAAAAUACAGCACACAUCGUGACCGUGUACUCAUCCCGGGAAAAUCUGGAGCCCAAAUACAACAUAAACAAAUCCUUGUAAAAGCUGGGACGUGAUUGGCCAAGCAUCCAGCAUGUUGGAAACAAAAGGGCCAAUGAUAGGGCUUGAUGUACGACACAUAGCCUCGAACAUAAACAAACUGUGUCAAAAUGAGGACGAUAUUUGAAGAGCGCCAUGAUCGUGGUGUGACGGAAUCUAACGUACAAGCCACGAUCGUGGCUGACGGGGUGUAAGGGUUAAGACUAAGAAAUGUUUAUUAUGGACCACUUGUGAGUAGAAAGUUCCCCAUGUAGCAAGAGCUACCAAUAAGAAAAAUUAUAUAAGCUGGGAAACCUUAACUAAUGUUAUCUCAUAGGCAGCCCGCAGCAGACUGCAGCGUGAGGUCAUGUGAAGGGUGCAGGUUGUGGCAGGCCCAGUGCCCAGCACCACCACCGUGUCUCAUACACAUUCACAGUAGCAGUUGUGGCUCGCUACUAAUUUUCUGCAUUACAAUGCACCGUGUGCUCAAAAUAGUAUGAUACUAGAUAAUUUACUAUUACCAAUAAUUAAUUUUUCAUUACUAUAAAAUAUCCAAUUUCUACUUAACAAAAUAACUUGAAGCAAGUAAUAUGCAAUGCAAUAAGUUUUUAGGUAUUUGGUAGUAUCAGCAGUACAUCAGCCAAUACUGACACUCUAAAAAUGGGCCGAUACUUCGAUACUGAUACAUUGGUACAUCCCUACUGCAAAGCAUGUGUACUGAACGUAAUAUAUAUGAAGCUUUUAGGGUGCAGUUACCCCUAGUUAUUACAUGGGCUUUCCUUGUCGCUACAAGUGUCCAUUGUCAUUCUUUCACGAGUUUCAUUGGCAGAGGGAGUCUCAUAGCAGCCUUAUUAGGUGCUGGAGAAACUAGUUCAUGUUAGCUGUAUCUACAACAUGCAUGUACUAUUCCAUUUCUGGAUAUAAAACUGGCUGCAUUAA